rnacentral:rRNA from 1 species
AUUGAACGCUGGCGGCAUGCCUUACACAUGCAAGUCGAACGGUAACAGGUCCUCGGAUGCUGACGAGUGGCGAACGGGUGAGUAAUACAUCGGAACGUGCCCGAGAGUGGGGGAUAACGAGGCGAAAGCUUUGCUAAUACCGCAUACGAUCUCAGGAUGAAGGCAGGGGACCGCAAGGCCUUGCGCUCACGGAGCGGCCGAUGGCAGAUUAGGUAGUUGGUGGGAUAAAAGCUUACCAAGCCGACGAUCUGUAGCUGGUCUGAGAGGACGACCAGCCACACUGGGACUGAGACACGGCCCAGACUCCUACGGGAGGCAGCAGUGGGGAAUUUUGGACAAUGGGCGCAAGCCUGAUCCAGCCAUGCCGCGUGCAGGAUGAAGGCCUUCGGGUUGUAAACUGCUUUUGUACGGAACGAAAAGACUCUGGUUAAUACCUGGGGUCCAUGACGGUACCGUAAGAAUAAGCACCGGCUAACUACGUGCCAGCCGCCGCAGUAACAC